CUCAGCUAGAUGUCACCGAUGCUGUGGGACACAGUUCCCGGCCUGGGCUGAGCGGAGGUCCAGGCUGCUCCUGGGCGUUACAGAAGGUUUACAGAGGAAGUGAUAGAGCAGGGUGGGAGGGAGAAAGCCUAACCUGUUUCAGCUACCUCUUCAAGUAUUUCAGCAGAUCCAAGAGGACUCCCAGUCAGCUGUGUGUCAUUAGUGGUGUCAGGACAGGAAAACAAUAGACGUGGCACAACCUCCUGAGCGCCAUCCAGUUGGACUCCCUGCCACGGUGGCCCCGUCCCGUCUGUGCUGUCCAACGUGGUACCACUCAGCACACGCCACUGCCGAGCCCCUGAGAGGCGGCCACUGUGCUUCGGGAGCUGUUUUCGUUUCAUCGCAUGUCACGUCACCGCCUGAAGGAAAGAUGGAAGACUGCCAGGAGUAUCUGCAUCACAAAUGUCUGUCCUUAAGUUAUUCAAAGUAGCACCUUUCACCAGCGAACAUGAAUGCUGCCCCUUGGUUCCUCCCUGCUGAAGGAACGUCUCUUCUCUUCAAGCCGCGCUGUGGAGCCGGGCCCUGAUGAAGCCGGGCAGGGCUCACGCCCUCUGGCAGAAGGGCCCUCGCCCCCACCUGCCGUUUGCCUGCUCCUGGGAGAAGCUGUUUGGGACCUGGGAGCCCGUCCCGGUCACAGAGACGACUGCAGCUCGUAUCCCACCGGCGCCCGGUGCAGGGACGAUGGCGGGGUGUCCCAGAAGGGACAGUGUGUGGAGGAGAGUUGGAUCCCAGCUUGCCCCUAGCAAAGCUCACUGCCUCUUUGGCUCCAAGCCACUCCUGAGCCUGUGUCCCCAUCCGUAAAAUGGGGGUGGCCAGGCCCGCCCACCUGCUUCACCUACUCCUCGUGUGGUUUCUGGUGGAAAGCUCUGGAAGGGCACUGAUGCGUGUCCUGUGGCUGCUGUAACGAGUUAGCACACACUGGGUAGCUCAAGACAGCAAUUCAUUAUCUCCUAGUUUUGGAGAUCAGAAGUCCGAAAUCAAGUGUGGGUGGGACUGCGCCCUGCGAAGGCCUGGGGGAAAGGGGGGGAGUCCUUGCUGCCUCUCCCAGGGGCUUCUGGGGGCUUCCGGCUGCUUCUGCUGUUGGCACUCCCUGUGCUGCACCGUCCAGCCUCCGCCUCCCAUCCUUCUCCCCUCUCCUGCCUGUUCUCCUCUGUAUGUUUCUCACAAGGACCUUUGUCAUUGGAUUUGGGGACCACAGAUAACCCAGGAUGAUCUCCUAAUUUCGAGAUCCUUAAUUACAUCUGCAAAGACCCCUUUUCCAAAUAAGGUCACAGUUGCAGGUUCCAGUGAUUAGGAUCAUUUUGGGGGGAGGAUUGUCACCAUUCAGCACACUACAGGCACCUUGCAAACUGUUUUAAUGUAUUUUGAACUACGAUGUAUUGCUGGGGGCCAGCAGAUUUCAGAGUGCAUGCCCCCGAUGGUGGUGGCCUGGAGACCAAGAGCUCACAGCAUUGAGCACCUACUAUGUGCCAGGCCAUAUGCUGAGUACUUUACACUUUGUCUCAUUUUAUUUUCACAGCACCUCUGCAAGGCAAGUACUCCUCAGAUGGGGAAGAUGAGGCUCAGAGGGAUGAAGUCACUUGGCCAAGGUCACUCUGGCACUGGGACUGAACCCAGGCAGGCCUCGACCUCCCAGGCUGUGCUCAUAACCACUGUUAUCUACAACCUUCCACAGAUAAGGGCAGCCCUGAGGUUUCGGGAGAGAGGCCACAACUAAUGGUCACAUGUGACAAGAGGCCUUGUAGGUGACAUCCUUGCACAGUUACAACAAUAAUGAUAGCUCAUUGUUAAUCAUCACAAUAAUCAUGGCUAACGAUGGUUGUGCUAUUAUAACAUACAGUGUUGUGAUAAUGAGUGCUUCCUGCAGCCAGACGCGGUGCUGUGUCCCUUUAAUGUAUUAUCUCAUUUAAUCUCACAAGCACCCUGCGAGGUAGAUACUACCACUAUUCCCACUUACAGGCUGACAGAAACAUCCAUGAACUGUAAUAUGACCACAAACAAAAACAAGGAGAUAAAAGGGAGAGAAGAAUAGGAUGUGAAAGCUACAAAGACAGCGAGAAUUAUUAAUACUAAAAAGAAAUGCAUUUCAGGAGGUCCUGAUUUUUGGCUUGGCCUUGGCCCCAGCGCCGAGUGGGGCCCGGCCCGAGUGCCCUGCUGUCUGCACCCCACCUCCACAGAGAGGACCCAGGGAGCCCCCAGCCCAGCCCGCCCAGAACUGAGCACACCUGCGGCAAUUCUGCCCACCAGGCCCCAGGCCAGGAGCCCCAGCCCUCCCUCCCCACGGCCCCAUCACUCCUGCGCAGCCCCCAAAGACACACCUUGGCUGGCCCGAUGUCCCAGUUCAAGCCUUUGUCAUCUUACUCCUGGGCCACUGCACAAGCCCUACCUGACUGCUCUCUGGCCUUCUGACCUCUCCCUAACUUCCCGCUCAUUAAAUCCACCCUCUUUCAACAGCUGGUGUGAAUUUAGGAAAACUGAUUUCCAGCCAUAUCAUCCCCCUGCUUUGACCCUUCCAGGCCUAGAGGACCCAGUUCAAGCUCCUUAACUGUAUGCACAGUAUAUGCCACUAUCACCCGCCUGCUUACCCACUUUCUAGCCUCAACCUCCCCCUUUCACCCUUCCCUCAAUCGUGCAUUGAGCUCCCCUGGCACUGACCUGUUUGCUGCUCCCCACCUACAACAUGUUUGUACCUCAGGGCCUUUGCACAUGCAGGUCUCCCUGCUGGAAAUGCCGUUCCUGGUCUCUCUGUCCCCCUUCUCAGCAUGCACACUCUUUGAGGGCAGGGAUUGUGUCUGCCUUGUCCACUGUUUUAUCCCUAGCCUUGGCAUAAAGCCUGGCUCCUACAAGGGAAUCAAUGAAUACUUCUGAAUAAGUCAAUGGGCAAUUUGAAGAAGCCCUUAGGCCGAACUCCGUAGGUAGCGUAUCUUCCCUUGUAUUAUACUGAAGUUCCUCAUCUCCCUUCACAAGUCUGACAGGCAUUAAGAGUAGAGGGGUUCAAUGUGAAGUUGCCGACCCUCGGUCCCAAGAUGCUGCACAACAUGCUUGGUUAGGCUUAUCCAGUGUUUUCUUUUUUUAAUGUUUUAAUUAAUUGCCAAUGUUUUAAUAUUGGGUGAUUUCAUAAAAAUUUGAAUUCAGCUUCCCUUAAAAAUAUCAGGAUCUGGCCACCCUGGGCCUGGCCCUAGAUGACGAGGACAGGCCGAGGCUGAUUGGGUAGCAGCUGUCCCUGCAGCCCAGGCACCUGUUGUCCAGCCAUCGCAGGCCCCGCCAGCCCGCUGCAUUCAUCUCUGUCACCGGCCUGGCCCCGCCGGCGUUUGGAUUGUCAGGUGUCAGGACACAUCGAAUUCAUCUGGGAAACCCUCCGUGUAAGCGCGUAUUUAUCUGGUCUCUGCGGUGCGGCCUGCCAUGCACAGGAGGCCAGGAAAGCCAACGCUGAGGUCGAAUUAAACCUGCUUUUCUUAGCAAAGCGAGAAACAAGAUCAAUUGCAAGA